UACGGGAGGCAGCAGUGGGGAAUAUUGCACAAUGGGCGAAAGCCUGAUGCAGCUAUGCCGCGUGUAUGAAGAAGGCCUUAGGGUUGUAAAGUACUUUCAUCGGGGAGGAAAAACAAAACUAAUAAUUUUAUUUCUUGACGUUACCCGAAAAAGAAGCACCGGCUAACUCCGUGCCAGCAGCCGCGGUAAUACGGAGGGUGCUAGCGUUAAUCAGAAUUACUGGGCGUAAAGAGCACGUAGGUGGUUUUUUUAAGUCAGAUGUGAAAUCCCUGGGCUUAACCUAGGAACUGCAUUUUGAAACUGAAAUACUAGAGUAUCGUAGAGGGAGGUAGAAUUCUAGGUGUAGCGGUGAAAUGCGUAGAUAUCUGGAGGAAUACCUGUGGCGAAAGCGGCCUCCUAAACGAAUACUGACACUGAGGUGCGAAAGCGUGGGGAGCAAACAGGAGUUAGAUACC
rnacentral:rRNA from 1 species